rnacentral:rRNA from 1 species
UACGUAGGGACCGAGCGUUGUCCGGAAUCAUUGGGCGUAAAGAGCGUGUAGGCGGCCACUUAAGUCCUGCGUGAAAUCUUGCGGCUCAACCGCAAGCGGUCGUGGGAAACUGGGUGGCUAGAGUGCGGGAGAGGAGAGUGGAAUUCCGUGGUGUAGCGGUGGAAUGCGCAGAUAUCAGGAAGAACACCCGUGGCGAAGGCAGCCCCCUGGGCCAAUACUGACGCUCAUGCACGAAAGCGUGGGGAGCAAACAGG